ACUAAGGGAGAUAUAAGGAAUUAUAAAUUAGGAAAUCUAACUUUAGUCCCAGGUAAAUUGGUUAAAAUUGCAAUUAAAAACAGAAUUAAAAUAUACUUGUAUGAACAUGUUAGGUUCAAAGGACAAGCUUCUGAAAAAGGAAAAUCAUGCCUCUCUGAUUUACUAUAAUGUUUUCAGCAUGUCAACAGAAGUAAUAAAGAAGCAGCAGAUGGCGUAAUACAUUUGGACCUUCAAAAAGCCUGUGACAAAGUCCCUUGCAAAAAACUCUUAAAGUAACUAAAGUGUCCAAGGUUUCAUUCCUGUCUAUUUCCAAGGAAAAAAGGAUGGCUGCCACUCUAGGACUUUUUCCCAUGUUUUUUUGUGCCAUGUUAUUUCCUACGUUGCAUGCUGCCAUUGUGUAUACAGAGUCGAAGUCAUCAUCCUCACCCAUUGCCAACUUGACGCUGAAUCCUGGAAAACUAAAGCUGACCUGGGACAGCAGUGUCACUGAUACUGCAUACAGAUGUUCUAUGCGUGUAGGCCAGAGUUACAGUUGGAAAAAGGUGUACAAUAAAACCUGCAUGUUUAGCAUAAACAGAGCUUUGCCUAUACAUAAGGGGGCAUUAUUCCAAGUUGAAGCAAUGUACAACCACACUUCAUAUUCAGCAGAAGCCAGAUUCAUUCCUCAAGG